rnacentral:rRNA from 1 species
GACGAACGCUGGCGGCGUGCUUAACACAUGCAAGUCGAACGGAAAGGCCCUGCUCUUGUUGCUUGCUCGAGUGGCGAAUGGGUGAGUAACACGCGAGUAACCCGCCCUUGACUUUGGGAUAACUUUAGGGAACUGGGGCUAAUACCCGAUAGGAUCUCCUGCUGCAUGUUGGGGGUUGGAAAGUCUCGGCGUUUGGGGAUGGACUCGCGGCUUAUCAGCUUGUUGGUGAGGUAGUGGCUUACCAAGGCUUUGACGGGUAGCCGCCCUGAGAGGGUGACGGGCCACAUGGGGGCUGAGAAGCGGCCAAGACGGAUACGUGCGGAAGGAGCGGGGAAGGUUGCACGCGGGGCGGAAGCCUGAGGCAGCAACGCCGGGUGCGAGAAGACGGCUUUCAGGUUGUAAACCGCUUUCACCUGUGAAGAGGCGUGAGGGCCGGUAAUGGGUAGAGAAGCACCGGCAAAUUCCGU